rnacentral:snRNA from 1 species
AUACUUACUUGGCAGGGGAAAUUCCAUGAUCACGAAAGUGGUUUUCCCAGGUCGAGGCUUAGCUAUUGCACUCCAGAUGUGCUAACCCCUGCGAUUUCCCCAAAUGUGGGAAACUUGAAUGCAUAAUUUGUGGUAGUGGGGGACUGCAUUCACACACACACACA